CUCAAUAGAGGAUGGGUAUCUACCUAAAGUUACUUUUGUAGUGGUCCAAAAGAGACAUCACACCCGUCUCUUUCCUGUCAACCCCAAAGAGACCGAUAGAAGUGGAAAUAUUAUGCCAGGAACCGUGGUAGACACCAGCAUUUGUCACCCUAGGGAAUUUGAUUUUUACCUUAACAGCCAUGCAGGAAUUCAGGGGACUAGUCGACCAACGCAUUAUCAUGUGUUGUAUGAUGAAAAUAAAUUCACUGCAGACCAGCUACAGAGUUUGACCAAUAACUUGUGCUACACGUAAUGAUAUGAUUUGCUUUUUUAAUCUUAAUUAAUGUUUUCUAAACU